rnacentral:rRNA from 1 species
UACGGAGGGUGCGAGCGUUGUCCGGAAUCACUGGGCGUAAAGGGCGCGUAGGUGGCGCAGGAAGUCAACGGUGAAAGUUCGGGGCUCAACCCUGAAUCGGCCGUCGAUACUCUGGGCUCGAGCAUGUAGAGGCAGAUGGAAUUCCGGGUGUAGCGGUGGAAUGCGUAGAGAUCCGGAAGAACACCGGUGGCGAAGGCGGUCU